rnacentral:rRNA from 1 species
UACGUAGGGUGCAAGCGUUGUCCGGAAUUAUUGGGCGUAAAGAGCUCGUAGGCGGUUUGUCGCGUCGAAUGUGAAAACCCGGGGCUCAACUCCGGGCCUGCAUUCGAUACGGGCAGACUAGAGUUCGGUAGGGGAGGCUGGAAUUCCUGGUGUAGCGGUGAAAUGCGCAGAUAUCAGGAGGAACACCGGUGGCGAAGGCGGGUCUCUGGGCCGAUACUGACGCUGAGGAGCGAAAGCGUGGGGAGCGAACAGG